GCAUAUCAAUAAGCGGAGGAAAAGAAACCAACAGGGAUUGCCCUAGUAACGGCGAGUGAAGCGGCAACAGCUCAAAUUUGAAAUCUGGCGCAAGCCCGAGUUGUAAUUUGUAGAGGAUGUUUCUGGCGACGUACCUUUCCGAGUUCCCUGGAACGGGACGCCAUAGAGGGUGAGAGCCCCCGUACGGUUGGUUGCCUAGCCUUUGUGAAACUCCUUCGACGAGUCGAGUAGUUUGGGAAUGCUGCUCUAAAUGGGAGGUAUACGUCUUCUAAAGCUAAAUACCGGCCAGAGACCGAUAGCGCACAAGUAGAGUGAUCGAAAGAUGAAAAGCACUUUGAAAAGAGGGUUAAAUAGUACGUGAAAUUGUUGAAAGGGAAGCGUUUAUGACCAGACUUGGGUAGGUUGAUCAUCCGUGGUUCUCCGCGGUGCACUCUGCCUGCCUAGGCCAGCAUCAGUUCAGUUCGGGGGAUAAAGGCUUCGGGAAUGUAGCUCCCUCGGGAGUGUUAUAGACCGUUGCGUAAUACCCUGAUCUGGACUGAGGUUCGCGCACUGCAAGGAUGCUGGCGUAAUGGUCAUCAGCGACCCGUCUUGAAACACGGACCAAGGAGUCGUCUUCGUAUGCGAGUGUUCGGGUGUCAAACCCCUACGCGUAAUGAAAGUGAACGUAGGAGAGAGCUUCGGCGCAUCUCCGACCGAUCCUGAUGUUCUCGGAUGGAUUUGAGUAAGAGCAUACGGGGCCGGACCCGAAAGAAGGUGAACUAUGCCUGUAUAGGGUGAAGCCAGAGGAAACUCUGGUGGAGGCUCGCAGCGGUUCUGACGUGCAAAUCGAUCGUCAAAUAUGGGCAUGGGGGCGAAAGACUAAUCGAACCUUCUAGUAGCUGGAUAUACAGCCGAAG
rnacentral:rRNA from 1 species